UACGUAGGGUGCGAGCGUUGUCCGGAAUUAUUGGGCGUAAAGAGCUCGUAGGCGGUUUGUUGCGUCUAUCGUGAAAACCUGCAGCUUAACUGUGGGCUUGCGGUGGAUACGGGCAGACUUGAGUUCGGUAGGGGAGACUGGAAUUCCUGGUGUAGCGGUGAAAUGCGCAGAUAUCAGGAGGAACACCGGUGGCGAAGGCGGGUCUCUGGGCCACUACUGACGCUGAGAAGCGAAAGCAUGGGGGAGCGAACAGG
rnacentral:rRNA from 1 species